AGCAGCCGCGGUAAUUCCAGCUCCAAUAGCGUAUAUUAAAGUUGUUGCAGUUAAAAAGCUCGUAGUUGAAUUUCGGGGUUCUACCUUUGGUCGGGCUUUGUCUGUACUAGCGUGUAGAAUUUCUACCUUCUGGGGAACCAUCAUGUUAUUAAUUUAACGUGGUGGGAAACCAGGACCUUUACCUUGAAAAAUUAGAGUGUUCAAAGCAGGCUUAUGUCUGAAUACAUUAGCAUGGAAUAAUAGAAUAGGACGGUGGUACCUGUUUUAGUGGUUUCUGAAUCACCGUAAUGAUUAAUAGGGAUAGUUGGGGGCAUUAGUAUUCAAUUGUCAGAGGUUGAAAUUCUUGGAUUUAUUGAAGACUAACUUCUGCGUAAAGCAUUUGCCUAAGGAUGUACUUCAUUAAUCAAGAACGAAAGUUAGGGGAUCGAAGACGAUCAGAUACCGUCGUAGUCUUAACCAUAAACUAUG
rnacentral:rRNA from 1 species